CAAAGGGAUUACCGGUGGCGGAUGGGCAUGCGGCGCAUUAGCUAGUCGGCGGGGUAACGGCCCACCGAGGCGACGAUGCGUAGGGGUUCUGAGAGGAAGGUCCCCCACACUGGUACUGAGACACGGACCAGACUCCUACGGGAGGCAGCAGUGAGGAAUAUUGGUCAAUGGGCGCGAGCCUGAACCAGCCAAGUCGCGUGAGGGAUGACGGUCCUACGGAUUGUAAACCUCUUUUGCCGGGGAGCAAGCGUGCGUUCGUGAACGCGCGUCGAGAGUACCCGGAGAAAAAGCAUCGGCUAACUCCGUGCCAGCAGCCGCGGUAAUACGGAGGAUGCGAGCGUUAUCCGGAUUUAUUGGGUUUAAAGGGUGCGUAGGCGGGAUGCCAAGUCAGCGGUAAAAAUGCGGUGCUCAACGCCGUCGAGCCGUUGAAACUGGCGUUCUUGAGUGGGCGAGAAGUAUGCGGAAUGCGUGGUGUAGCGGUGAAAUGCAUAGAUAUCACGCAGAACUCCGAUUGCGAAGGCAGCAUACCGGCGCCCUACUGACGCUGAGGCACGAAAGCGUGGGUAUCGAACAGGAUUAGAUACCCUGGUAGUCCACGCAGUAAACGAUGAAUGCUAACUGUCCGGCUCGAAUGAGCGCUGGGCGGU
rnacentral:rRNA from 1 species